rnacentral:rRNA from 1 species
GGAUGAACGCUAGCUACAGGCUUAACACAUGCAAGUCGAGGGGAAACGGCAAUGAAUGCUUGCAUUUAUUGGACGUCGACCGGCGCACGGGUGAGUAUCGCGUAUCCAACCUGCCUAUUACUUGAGAAUACCCCGUUGAAAGGCGGUCUAAUACUCAAUACUUUCAUAAAUUGGCAUCAUGCUAUGAAAAAAGAUUUAUCGGUAAUAGAUGGGGAUGCGUCUGAUUAGUUAGUUGGUGAGGUAACGGCUCACCAAGGCGACGAUCAGUAGGGGUUCUGAGAGGAAGGUCCCCCACAUUGGAACUGAGACACGGUCCAAACUCCUACGGGAGGCAGCAGUGAGGAAUAUUGGUCAAUGGGCGUAAGCCUGAACCAGCCAAGUAGCGUGUAGGAAUACAGCCCUAUGGGUUUUAAACUACUUUUGUUAGGGAAUAAAGUGUGCCACGUGCUGGCAUAUUGCAUGUACCUAUCGAAUAAGGACCGGCUAAUUCCGUGCCAGCAGCCGCGGUAAUACGGAAGGUCCAGGCGUUAUCCGGAUUUAUUGGGUUUAAAGGGAGCGUAGGCUGGAGAUUAAGUGUGUUGUGAAAUGUAGACGCUCAACGUCUGAAUUGCAGCGCAUACUGGUUUCCUUGAGUACGCACAACGUUGGCGGAAUUCGUCGUGUAGCGGUGAAAUGCUUAGAUAUGACGAAGAACUCCGAUUGCGAAGGCAGCUGACGGGAGCGCAACUGACGCUUAAGCUCGAAGGUGCGGGUAUCAAACAGGAUUAGAUACCCUGGUAGUCCGCACAGUAAACGAUGGAUGCCCGCUGUUGGUACCUGGUAUCAGCGGCUAAGCGAAAGCAUUAAGCAUCCCCACCUGGGGAGUACGCCGGCAACGGUGAAACUUCAAAGGAAUUUGACCGGGGGCCCGC